GAAAUGCGAUAAGUAAUGUGAAUUGCAGAAUUCCGUGAAUCAUCGAAUCUUUGAACGCACAUUGCGCCCUCUGGUAUUCCGGGGGGCAUGCCUGUCCGAGCGUCAUUGCGAACCCCUCAAGCACGGCUUGUGUGAUGGGCCCUCCCGCGUCUUGGUCGUCAAGACGGGCCCGAAAUGCAGUGGCGGCUUUGCGGUUAUCCGAUCAGCCAGAGCGUAUGGGGACUUUCUCUCUGUCACACGCCCGCGGCGCGGACCGACGCCUGUCGACCUUCAUUCAUCGUUUUCUCGGUUGACCUCGGAUCAGGUAGGGAUACCCGCUGAACUUAAGC
rnacentral:misc_RNA from 1 species